AUUGAACGCUGGCGGCAGGCCUAACACAUGCAAGUCGAACGGUAACAGGAAACAGCUUGCUGUUUCGCUGACGAGUGGCGGACGGGUGAGUAAUGUCUGGGAAACUGCCUGAUGGAGGGGGAUAACUACUGGAAACGGUAGCUAAUACCGCAUAACGUCGCAAGACCAAAGAGGGGGACCAUCGGGCCUCUUGCCAUCGGAUGUGCCCAGAUGGGAUUAGCUAGUAGGUGGGGUAACGGCUCACCUAGGCGACGAUCCCUAGCUGGUCUGAGACGAUGACCAGCCACGCAGGAACUGAGACACGGUCCAGAAUACUACGGGAGGAAGCAGUGGGGAAGAUUGCACAAUGGGCGCAAGCCUGAUGCAGCCAUGCCGCGUGUAUGAAGAAGGCCUUCGGGUUGUAAAGUACUUUCAGCGGGGAGGAAGGGAGUAAAGUCAAUACCUUUGCUCAUUGACUUUACCCGCAGAAGAAGCACCGGCUAACUCCGUGCCAGCCGCCGCUGUAA
rnacentral:rRNA from 1 species